AUUCUAUUUCAGUUUCACUUUUGCAAACGAAUGAGGAAAUAAAAGCAGCAUAUAUUGGACAAGCUCGAAUAACAAUAAUAAUUGCUAUAGUGUUUAUGAGAUUUAGGACAAUAAAGUGUCAGUAGUUUAAGGUGUAAUGUUCAGAGAUUAUGGAGAACAGACAUGAGGAGAGUGCUUUAAAUCACUCGACCACUUUGACGAACAAACAGCGUGGGAACGAGGCCACAGUCCGACCGGCCACUUUAGAUGUCCUCUCCAUACAUCAGCUGUCAGCCCAGGGAGAAAUUUCCCAAGUAGAGACUCAUCUAGCCAAAGACAGUUUUCUGCUGAACAAUCAUGAUGAGCGAGGUUUCACGCCGUUGAUGUGGGCUGCUGCUUUUGGAGAGAUAGCCAUGGUGGAGUUUCUGCUUCAGAAGGGGGCUGAUCCAAAAACGCUGGCCUGGGAACGAGAAAGUGCCCUGUCUUUGGCCAGUGCUGGGGGAUUCGCAGAUAUCGUUAAUAUUUUGCUGAAACAUGAUGUUGAUAUUGAUUCCUAUGAUUGGAAUGGUGGGACUCCUCUUCUGUACGCGGUUCGUGGGAAUCACUUGAAAUGUGUUGAAGCUCUCUUGAGAUGUGGUGCAGAUAUCACAUUUGAAGCAGAUUCUGGAUACAGCCCUAUAGCCCUCGCUGUUGCUCUGGGCCACAAAAAAGAACACAAAAGAAGAUAUUUUGAAGAAAGUUGGUAACUGAACAGCAUUGGACCCCAUUCACUUCUAUUGAAUGGAAACAAAACCAGGUCCAGUUAACAACAUUUUUCAAAAGAUCUGCUUUUGUGUUCUGCGGAAGAAAGAAAGUCAUACAGGUUUGAAAAGACAAAGGGUGCAAAAACUCCUUGAAGAUCACAUUCUGAAACUGUUUCGGGAACCAGUUUAGGUAUCGAAAAACACAUGAAGCAUAGGACUACUUUUAAAACACUUUUUCAAUAGUCAUGCA